rnacentral:rRNA from 1 species
GAUGAACGCUAGCGGCAGGCUUAACACAUGCAAGUCGAGGGAACCGGCGCACGGGUGCGUAACGCGUAUGCAACUUACUUUUCACAGGGGCAUAGCCCGGAGAAAUUUGCAUUAAUAUCCCAUCGUGGAAGCUGGGUAGGCGUCCUAUUAGCUAGUUGGCGAGGUAACGGCUCGCCAAGGCGACGAUAGGUAGGGGUCCUGAGAGGGAGUUCCCCCACACUAGUACGGAGGCAAGAACCAGACGCCUACGGGAGGCAGCAGUGGGGAAUAUUGGGCAAUGGUCGGAAGACUGAACCAGCCAGGCCGCGUGCAGGAAGGCGGCCUAUGGGGUGUAAACUGCUGUUUUAUGGGAAGCGUUACCAGAUGAAGAAGCAGCGGCUAACUCCGUGCCAGCAGCCGCGGUAAUUC